UAGUAGAACCGAGCCGCUCUCUGGAUAUCGGU
rnacentral:scRNA from 1 species